UCGCACUAGUCGGGGAGUCAGCGGUGCCCUGUACCUGCAACCCGCUACAGCAGGGAUGAAUUCCGGCCCCCGGUCUCGCGAUGUGUCGACUGCCCUUCGUAAGUGGUGUUGACGAAACGGUCUUGCGCAACGGAUGCCCGUGAACCAUGUCAGGCGGGAGACCGAGCAGCAUUAAGCGGUGUCAUUCGUGUGCCGCGAGGAAGCCGUUUUCGAGCAGGCUGCGAAGGUACCGGACAUAUCGCGCACCCCAAAGGCCGGUGUGCGA
rnacentral:SRP_RNA from 1 species